UACGGAGGGUGCAAGCGUUAUCCGGAUUCACUGGGUUUAAAGGGUGUGUAGGCGGGCUUUUAAGUCAGUGGUGAAAUCUCCUGGCUCAACCUGGAAACUGCCAUUGAUACUAUUGGUCUUGAAUUUUGUUGAGGUAGGCGGAAUAUAUCAUGUAGCGGUGAAAUGUUUAGAUAUGAUAUAGAACACCGAUUGCGAAGGCAGCUUACUAAACAAAUAUUGACGCUGAGGCACGAAAGCGUGGGGAUCAAACAGG
rnacentral:rRNA from 1 species